rnacentral:tRNA from 1 species
AGGAAAUAUGUGAUUCAAGAAUAGGCUUCUAACCGUUUUCUUAAGCGAUGAAACUUCUUUUAUAUUUCU